CUCGCGAUGUCGGAGCGGGUUAUAUAACGAGACGCAGGGGCGCGGCCAUUUCCCUCUCUGCGGUUGUGUGUGCGUGUGGAGAGUGGCUACAUUGAGACCCUGGAUAGUUCCGAGGUGAUGCUUGCACUGAAGAACCAGCUUCAGUUGUAUGGAGAAAUUCAUCUGCACCAUGUUAAAUCAGUCACAGAUCAGGGGUCAUUUGAAUGGAGUCAGGUGGGCUUCUGUUUAGUAGAAAUGCAACUUACGUGAAGCUCUUUUAAGCUUGGGAUGUAGCAACCUAUUUGAAAAGAUUGAUGCUUUCAGCUCAAGGUGCAAGCGAAGGGAAUAUCACUGGUAACAUAGGGUGACAGUCAGGAUCAGAAUUACUGAUGCAAUCUGGAUGUUGUGAUCCAACUGUUGCCAUUUAAGUUGAACUGCAUUAACUUUUGGUGCAGGUGUUGGAAGACAUCCUGUGUACUUAAAAUUGAACCAGUGUGAAGCUUUCUAAGAAUAUUCCAGAGUAAAGAUCUGCAACAUCAGUGGCCUGUUGUACAAAUAAACAAUGGAUGAUGUGCAAUAUGCCUUUAGUUUUUUCUUUUAUAAUGGAUGGCUCUAGAAAUGCAGAACAGUUGUAUUUACUGGUAUUACUUCAUAUUACAAAUUUGAGUUAAAAUCCCGGGGAGUGGGCUGCAACAGGAUGCCCCAUCACAUGCUUUCUUGCCAUCGAGGUACAGUACCCUAAAGUCGCACUCAGUGUUUUAGGAAUAACUUCCCUGCUGCCAUCUCACUUCUGAAUGUACUGGUGUUUACCACCUUCCCUUGUAUUUGCACUAAAUUAAAUUAGCAGAGGCCAAUUGGGUGAUUUAUUAGGGUGAAGGGUAAACGUGGAACCUUAGUUGAUGGGGAAUAUUUUGAGGCUCUGGCUAAGAAAAAGGAAGCAUGUGUUGGUUGUCAAGGACAAGUAAUUAAAAACAGGCUUGAGGGUAUGAGAUGUAAUUAGCAAAUAAGGUUGAAGGAAAUCCCAAGAUUUCCAGGGAGAGCUUGGGUCCCUUUUGAUCAGCAAGGCCGCCUGAGGAGUGGGAUUUCCAAAAAAUGAUAAAAAAAAAUUGCUCAGAUGAAGAAUGGAGGCCAAUAACCAGUGUCACUGUGAUCAUUGUUACUCAUAAAAUAGUUGAAAUAAUGUGCUGAGUCAUAAAGCCUUGGGUAGGGUUCUUGAUCCAAGCCCAGCUCAGCAGAGGGGUCAAGUACUUCAGCCCUGUGGCCAUGAUGUGAAAGUAGUAAUGGGGACCCUUGGUAAACAAAAAACUUGCUAACUCAGGAUUUGGGAAGUAAAUGGGAAUUCACUUUCAGGAAAUUUCUGCAAUUUAAAGUCAUUUCUGGAAUAUCUGGAGAUGUAUGCCUAGUACAAAAUAACUUCAAGUUAAGUCUUCUGGCUUGAAUUCAAAUUGAACUUGUUGGGAACAAGUAAAUCUAAUCAACUAUAAUAGGUAUUAAAUACUAAAUGUUAAGUAAGUAUUAGUGCAUGCAGAGAGUGCAACUUGAAUACAGCUUCGUGAGUGCAAAGGAUCAAGUGGAGUUGUGAUUGGGGGGGGUGUAUGGAGAGGGUGAAGAAGAUAACUGGAAGGAAGGAACAUUCCACAGUACAAGAUUAGAUUGGAGAGGGUGGACUGAGAUAUUGCAUAUUUAUUACAUCACCAAUAAACCAUGGGUAAGAAGAAGGCCCUUCAGACAUUAGAGGGUUGUGGAUGAUGUUAUUUUAGUGUUCUUGGGAUUAAUGUCAGUUAUGCAAGGGAAUAGAAUUUUUAUUUUACAUGCAUUUCAACAACAGGGAGUGAAAAUCUUCAUGUUGUAUCUCACUAUGUACAAACAUCAAGGAAGGGAAAUGUGGGAAGAUAUUGCCCAAACAUUAAGUUUGUAAUUUUAUAUACAGUUAUGUGCAAUCAGAUCAAUGUAUAUUGAUAAAUCUGAUGGUCUGGUGAAAAAAGCUGUCCCAGAACCUCUUGAUCCUGGCAUUAAUGCCACGAUACCAUUUGCCAGAUGGAAGCUGCUGUAAAUGUCUUGAAUAGAGGAAAGCUCUCAGAAGUUGUACUUCUACAGUAGCAGUACUGUCUCCUUGGAUUUUGCCUUUUCAAUCUAUUUGAAUCCCUGUUGGUUUCAGUUUAAAGGAACAGCUAUCUUCUGAUGAUGAUUUGCUGACUUUAAGUUUUGGUUAGUUCAGCUAUUAAAAUGUUACUGAUAGCCACUAUAAUUAGAAUUUUCCAAAUUUGUGAAAUCAAUAGCUUAAUAAUCAGUUGCUCCUAAAGAUUGUGCCUGCCCAAUCCACAUAUGCUUUCAUGAACAAGAAAAUCUGCAGAGGCAGGAAUCUGAACACUCAAAAUGCUGGAGGAACUCAACAGACCAGGCAGCAUCUAUGGUAAAGAGUACAAUGGAUGGUUCUGGCUGAGACCCUUCAUCAGUUUCUGGAAUUUCUUUGUCUGAAACAUUGUAAUUAUCAUGCUUUCAAUUCUCUCCUGUCAUUAAACUUGACCAGUAUACAUUUUUACUGUGAUAUACCGUAUCCAGUGCUCUAUUGGGGAGACCGUUUCACCAAACACUGGUGCUCAGUCCUCCAGCAGUGGCGGGAUCUCCCUGUGGCCACACACUUCAAUUCCACAGACCACUCCCACUCCAAAAUGUCUGUCCAUGGCCUCCUCUACCGUCAAGAUGAGGCCACAUGCAGGUUGAUGGAGCAAUACCUUAUCUCCCACCUAGGUAGCCUCCUACCUGCCGGGAUGAACGUUCAGACAGACCUAUGUUGAUAGCCCUGCCCCCCCCCCCCCCUUACCACAUCCCUAUCUAUAAUUUUAGUCUGGUUCUCUUUUUCCCCUCCUCACUAUAAUCUUCCCCCCCAUCCCCACCCUUCUUCCUCUUUUAUUUCCCAUAAUUCUCCACCUUCCCCCAGCCCAUUUCCCUUCAGCCUUUCACUUCCCAGCUCUCUACUUCAUCCCUCCCCCUCAACCAUCCCAUGUUACUUCACUCCUGAUGAAGGGUUUGGGACUGAAACGUCAUCACUACCUCCUCCCAUAGAUACUGUCUGGCCUGCUGAGUUCUGCCAGCACUUUGUGUUUUUACAUUUUUAAUAAGUUUCUCCUCUAAAUGCCACCCAUUUCCAACAAGCUUCAGGACAACUUCUUUCACCAGGCCAUCAGACUGAUGAAUUCAUGCUGAUACAGUCAGAUUUCUAUGCCAUGUUGACUUCUGUUCUAUGUACUAUUCCAAAUUCCUAUAAAUUGCACAUUUAGACGGAGAUUUAACAAAGAUUCGUGUAUGUGAAGGAUGUAAGAAAUAGUCAAUUCAAUUUUAAAUACUGCUCAGGAUUGUAUUAAAUUAUGUCACUUCA